GAAAAGAAAAAGAAAACUGAUGUUAUUGAAGUUGUUUUUGUUGAAAACAUAGAUGUUAGUGAAAGACCAGAGUGUAUUUGGAAGAAAAGUUCUACAUAUUUAGGGAUUCAGAGAUAGUAUGAAUUGAUGUUGUCGACGAUCUAACAAGUGCUUGCAUUAAUGGGUUUCUUUUGAUGAACAUAGGGUUUUCGAAAGGUUGAUUCAGAGAAGUGGGAAUUUUCAAAUGAAUGGUUUCUAGGAGGACAGAAGCACCUACUGAAGAAUAUAAAGAGGAGGAGACAUAUUUUUGUGACAAAUAUCGCCAAUUACUUCGGUUGGCUUCCCAAGGGUGUUACAAGUGUGAUUUACGGAUUCGGUCCUACUGAUGGUUAAUGGUGCAUUCACUUCUGAUCAUAUUGAUGUUGCCAAUGUUUGUUUUCCUACAUCUGGCAAUUAGUAUAUCGUAUUUUAGAUGAUCGAUAUUCAUACAAGGGCUGAAGUAAGUUCUCGCAAUCCUUUUUAUCUGACAGUUCAAAGUUAUUUCGAUAUCUAGGAGAUGUUUGUUUUUCUACAUGUAGGACAACCAAUUAACAUACUGCAGUCUAGAUGGGAAUCGUUUUUUUUGUAUUUUACAGUAUCAUUUUGUUGAAGGAAGAUAGAAUGUAGCUUGAGUGUGCAGCGGAAAGGAUUAGGAAAACUCUUAAUGCAGUUGGUUGAGUGCCUUGGAUAUGAGAAUAGGAAAGGUGUUGUUAUAUUAUCUGGUCAUAAAAGAAAUGUGCUUUGCUAUGGAUUUUACAUAAGUAAGUUAAGUUGUUCUUGCUAGAUAAUGGUAUGAUAACCUCAUGCUUGCAUAUGUUGAUGACUGUGGUGGAGUUGCUAAGAAGAGAAGAUUGCCUGCCACCCUCGGGAAGCAUAGAGAAUUUGCAAAAUGAACUAGUUACGGUUGCGAUGGAUACAGUUGAGCAUGAACCUGGCGCUGGAAAUUGAUGUUGAGGUUGAAAUGUGGAAAUGUUACUAACCACAACAAAUGAUUUGAGAUCCGUUUUCUGAUUUUUUUGUGUUUAAGAAGACAAUAUUUUUUUCUUUUGUAGACUUGAAUUAAUGCUGAAUCAAAAGUGGCAGGUUGUUUAUUA